GGGGACGGGGGGAGGGAGCUGGGCGUGUCGCCGCCUGCGGCUUCGGGGUUUGCGCUGGCGAGAGGGGCUUGAGAGAUUUGGGGUCGCCAUCUUCAUUUCUGCAAGUGCGAGCGAUUGUGCGAGCAGCUCUUGCACGAAAGUGGGCUUCAUUGACACCUUCACCCGGAUACUGUCUGCCUGCUGCCCGGUCGCUGUUUCGUUUCGCCAGAAGAAGUCAUUUCCACCUUCUGAGAGAAAAAAAAAGGAGAAAGACGACAAAUCAAAAGCCCGUGGGUGGACGGAAGGACUCGGGAACAGGUGACGUCGUCAAAGCGUCGGACGGCAUGAGACCUUCACCAGAGAGGAGCAGAGGCCGGAGAUGCGAUGCGAUAGGCAUCUUUUAUAUUCCUCGCAACCGAAAAGUAAAAAAGAACCCAGGCGUACUCCCGCUGCGCCCGCCUGUACAGCACGCCACUUCACUUUAAAACUCCCAAAACACGACCCCAAACUCUUGUUUAGUUAUAAAUUUCAAAAUUCCAAAAAAAUUUCCGGUACCUA